rnacentral:lncRNA from 1 species
UCCAACGUAAGCGAUUAGUGCAUCUCAUGAUGGCAUACACACAUAAUUUGCAUACAUACACAUCACAUGACAGGAGAAACCAUGCAAAAGAUUUCCCAUCUCAGCCGAGAUCAGGAACGAUGAAGAAGUCGUCCUCGUCGUCGGGCAGCUGCACCCGCGGCUUCUUGCUCUGACGCGCACCGGUCGCCUUGUAGAACCCCGCGUUGGUAGCUGGCUGCGGCGAGGCGAAGAGCUCGGGGACCUCCGCCGUCGUGGUCUUGGCCGGCGCGUGGCCGUGGAACAGGUCGAUGUCCGCGAACCACUCCAGCUCCUUGAACCCAAGAGGCGAGUCCUUCCGCAACAAGAGAAGGAAACCGUGAGAUGAUUGGUUAGAUGUUGUCAUGAAGAAAAGGAAAGGUUUUGAUGGUUGCCUGCUUGCCUUGUCGCUGGAUUCGUAGUCGGAGAGCUGCAGGAGGUCCUCGACGGCCCAUCCGGACGGCGGCAGGAACGGUGACGACGGCACCUCCUGCGGCUGCGCGUCCUUGACGACCGGUGGUGUCUUGGCCGCCCCCGCGGUGGCCGCGGGCUUGGAGUUGGAGCUGCCCUUGGGCGGCGGGAGGCCUUCCGCUCCGGCUCCUGCGCCGGCGCCGCAGACGGAGCUGAAGCCGACGCGGAUGCCGGUGGCGAGGUAGCGCUGGUGGUUCCCCGAGAGCGUCCCCGGGACGUGGAUGGGCUCGUCGCAGUCGCGGCAGAAGAGCGCCCUGUCCUCGACGCAGAAGAUGAAGGCCGGCUUCUCCUGGCAGACGUCGCAGCGCGGGAGGUCCCCCGCGGCGCCUUCGCCGUCGAGAGGGAGCCGCUGGUGCUUGCUGGCCAGCUUGUUGGCGGCGUGGAUCUCGACGUCGCAGCGCGCGCACAGCGCCGCCUCGUCCGCGCAGCACACCACCGUGGCCGCCGCGCCCUCGCACGCGUCGCACUGGAUCCUCAUCCCACCCCCCCGCCUCCCUCUCGCUCCUCACCUCAGCUCGGCUCUCUCUCAGAACCUCACGUAAUCCGACGGCUUCCGCUCGAGACAACAGCCAACUAUAAAAAUCUGCAGGGAAGCAAAGAGGAGAGCAAAGCGGCGAGCAGCGGGCAGCGGAUGGCGCGUAUAAAUCGCGCAGCGCGCGUCGCGCCACGCCCCCGUUCCCCACGUCCGGCGCACGCGGUGGGUGUGGGCAGGGGGGGCCCG